rnacentral:misc_RNA from 1 species
CCGAGUUUUCCAACUCCCAACCCAUGUGAACGUUACCUCUCGUUGCCUCGGCGGGACUCGCCCCGGUGCCCUCGGGCCCGGAUCCAGGCGCCCGCCGCAGGACCCCAAACGCUGUCUUCAUGAUUGAGCAUCGUCUGAGUGAAACAAACAAAUAAAUCA